rnacentral:rRNA from 1 species
CCUACGGGAGGCAGCAGUGGGGAAUAUUGGGCAAUGGAGGAAACUCUGACCCAGCAACGCCGCGUGAAUGAUGACGGUCUUCGGAUUGUAAAGUUCUUUUCUAAGGGAAGUAGAAAGUGACGGUACCUUAGGAAUAAGCCUCGGCUAACUAUGUGCCAGCAGCCGCGGUAAUACGGAGGAGGCAAGCGUUAUCCGGAUUGACUGGGCGUAAAGGGUGCGUAGGUGGUUUGACAAGUUGGUAGCGUAACUCCGGGGCUCAACCUCGGAACUACUACCAAAACUGUCGGACUUGAGUGCAGGAGGGGCAAAUGGAAUUCCUAGUGGAGCGGUGGAAUGCGUAGAUAUUAGGAGGAACACCGGUGGCGAAGGCGAUUUGCUGGACUGCAACUGACACUGAGGCACGAAAGCGUGGGGAGCAAACAGGAUUAGAUACCCUUGUAGUC